rnacentral:rRNA from 1 species
AAUUCGCCCUUAGAGUUUGAUCCUGGCUCAGAUUGAACGCUGGCGGCAUGCCUUACACAUGCAAGUCGAACGGUAACGCGGGGCAACCUGGCGACGAGUGGCGAACGGGUGAGUAAUAUAUCGGAACGUGCCCAGUCGUGGGGGAUAACUGCUCGAAAGAGCAGCUAAUACCGCAUACGACCUGAGGGUGAAAGCGGGGGAUCUUCGGACCUCGCGCGAUUGGAGCGGCCGAUAUCAGAUUAGGUAGUUGGUGGGGUAAAGGCCUACCAAGCCGACGAUCUGUAGCUGGUCUGAGAGGACGACCAGCCACACUGGGACUGAGACACGGCCCAGACUCCUACGGGAGGCAGCAGUGGGGAAUUUUGGACAAUGGGGGCAACCCUGAUCCAGCCAUGCCGCGUGCGGGAAGAAGGCCUUCGGGUUGUAAACCGCUUUUGUCAGGGAAGAAAUCCUUUGGGCUAAUAACUCGGAGGGAUGACGGUACCGA